rnacentral:tRNA from 1 species
GGCCUGGUGACCUAAUGGUUAAGUGCUUGGCUGCUAAUCAAAAGGUUGGUGGUUCCAACCGUCCCAGCA